rnacentral:rRNA from 1 species
UACGGGAGGCAGCAGUGGGGAAUAUUGCACAAUGGGCGCAAGCCUGAUGCAGCCAUGCCGCGUGUAUGAAGAAGGCCUUCGGGUUGUAAAGUACUUUCAGUCGUGAGGAAGGUGUUAAGGUUAAUAACCUUAGCAAUUGACGUUAGCGACAGAAGAAGCACCGGCUAACUCCGUGCCAGCAGCCGCGGUAAUACGGAGGGUGCGAGCGUUAAUCGGAAUUACUGGGCGUAAAGGGCACGCAGGCGGUUAAUUAAGUUGGAUGUGAAAUCCCCGGGCUUAACCUGGGAAUGGCAUUCAAGACUGGUUAGCUAGAGUCUUGUAGAGGGGGUUAGAAUUCCAUGUGUAGCGGUGAAAUGCGUAGAGAUGUGGAGGAAUACCGGUGGCGAAGGCGGCCCCUGGACAAGACUGACGCUCAUGUGCGAAAGCGUGGGGAGCAAA